rnacentral:tRNA from 1 species
AGGCUUGUAGCUCAGCCGGUUAGAGCACACCCCUGAUAAGGGUGAGGUCGGUGGUUCAAAUCCACUCAGGCCUACCA